GACGAACGCUGGCGGCGUGCUUAACACAUGCAAGUCGAACGGAGUGGCGAACGGGUGAGUAACACGUGGGUGACCUGCCCUGCACUUCGGGAUAAGCCUGGGAAACUGGGUCUAAUACCGGAUAGUGUGGGGUGGGCCCGCGGCCUAUCAGUUUGUUGUUGGGGUAAUGGCCUCCCACGGCGGCGACGGGUAGCCGGCCUGAGAGGGUGGACGGCCACAUUGGGACUGAGAGACGGGUCAGACUCCUACGGGAGGCAGCAGUGGGGAAUAUUGCACAGUGGGCGGAAGCCUGAUGCAGCGGCCCCGCGUUGGGGAUGACGGCCUUCGGGUUGUAAACUCCUUUCACCAUCGACGCGGUAGAUGGAGAAGAAGCACCGGCUAACUACGUGCCAGCAGCCGCGGUAAUUC
rnacentral:rRNA from 1 species